CCUACGGGUUGCAGCAGUAGGGAAUCUUCGGCAAUGGACGAAAGUCUGACCGAGCAACGCCGCGUGAGUGAAGAAGGUUUUCGGAUCGUAAAACUCUGUUGGUAGAGAAGAACGCUGGUGAGAGUGGAAAGCUCAUCAAGUGACGGUAACUACCCAGAAAGGGACGGCUAACUACGUGCCAGCAGCCGCGGUAAUACGUAGGUCCCGAGCGUUGUCCGGAUUUAUUGGGCGUAAAGCGAGCGCAGGUGGUCUAUUAAGUCUAGUGUAAAAGGCAGUGGCUCAACCAUUGUAUGCAUUGGAAACUGGUAGACUUGAGUGCAGGAGAGGAGAGUGGAAUUCCACGUGUAGCGGUGAAAUGCGUAGAUAUAUGGAGGAACACCGGUGGCGAAAGCGGCUCUCUGGCCUGUAACUGACACUGAGGCUCGAAAGCGUGGGGAGCAAACAGGAUUAGAUACCCUAGUAGUC
rnacentral:rRNA from 1 species